rnacentral:rRNA from 1 species
GACGAACGCUGGCGGCGUGCUUAACACAUGCAAGUCGAACGGAAAGGCCCUGCUUGCAGGGUACUCGAGUGGCGAACGGGUGAGUAACACGUGGGUGAUCUGCCCUGCACUUCGGGAUAAGCCUGGGAAACUGGGUCUAAUACCGGAUAGGAGCCAUUUUUAGUGUGAUGGUUGGAAAGUUUUUUCGGUGUAGGAUGAGCUCGCGGCCUAUCAGCUUGUUGGUGGGGUAAUGGCCUACCAAGGCGGCGACGGGUAGCCGGCCUGAGAGGGUGGACGGCCACACUGAGACCGACGGGAGGCCCAGGUGCCGACGGGAGGCAGAAGUGCGGAAGACUGCACAAGGGGCGCCGGGCUGGUGAAGAGGCGCCGCGGGGGGGAUGACGGCCUUAGGGUUGUAGACUCCAUGCGCUAGGGACGAAGCUUUUUGUGACGGUACCUAGAUAAGAAGCACCGGCUAACUACGUG